CAGGAAGGUCCUUAGGACUCGACGAGGACCAAGCUAUAGAAGGUGAUACGGUGUUAUAUCUGAAUGGAUUCGGAUAGAAUGAUCAGAUAUCGAGGCCGUAGAACGUAGGGGUCAGAUUACAUCAGAAUGAUUCGCUGUCCUUCAGAAGGUUGGGCCAGCUGCUACGGAGAGGAGAUUUCACAGAACUGUGUCCUCUCUUUGUUUAUGACCAGACCCUAUUUCUAUGACGAUUAUUAGUCUAUAGAUGCUCCAACGCAGAUUCCUAGUAACAUGAUCGGGAGAUUCUUUACAUCAACCAUUCAGGUAAGUAUUCCGGAUACACCCAUGCACUUAGUUACCAAGGGUCUGUUCAGAGUCAACUUUAGCUCUUAGAUCUAUCAAAACAAUGCCCUGCGAUGCAAUUGCUUUCUUGCUCUCCCCUUUUGUAACUGAUAUCGGCGCAAUGAAACGACGCAAGAAAUGCAAGAUGCACAGGAACAAUUCGAAAGAACAGGACAAAUGAAAACCGAUAAGAUAGCCAACCAGGCGAAGCAAUUCUUUCUAUGCAGUAUCAUUUCAAUUCUUCCUGGGCUGGCUUCAGCAGGACCAAUGGCUAUCGUUCCACCCUGGAAGUCCCAUGUGGCGGAUUGACACCAGC
rnacentral:sRNA from 1 species